rnacentral:rRNA from 1 species
UGGGAAAUUGCACAAUGGGCGCAAGCCUGACCCAGCCAUGCCGCGUGCAGGAUGACGGCCCUUCGGGUGGAAAACUGUUUUUAUAUGGAAGAAAACCUCACGACGCGUGCGGAACUGACGGUAUCAUAUCAAUAACCACCGGCUAACUUCAUGCCAGCAGCCGCGGUAAUA